AAACCAACCGGGAUUGCCUCAGUAACGGCGAGUGAAGCGGCAAGAGCUCAAAUUUGAAAGCUGGCUCCUUCGGAGUCCGCAUUGUAAUUUGCAGAGGAUGCUUUGGGUGCGGCCCCCGUCUAAGUGCCCUGGAACGGGCCGUCAGAGAGGGUGAGAAUCCCGUCUUGGGCGGGGUGUCCGUGCCCGUGUAAAGCUCCUUCGACGAGUCGAGUUGUUUGGGAAUGCAGCUCUAAAUGGGUGGUAAAUUUCAUCUAAAGCUAAAUACUGGCCGGAGACCGAUAGCGCACAAGUAGAGUGAUCGAAAGAUGAAAAGCACUUUGAAAAGAGAGUUAAACAGCACGUGAAAUUGUUGAAAGGGAAGCGCUUGCGACCAGACUCGCCCGCGGGGUUCAGCCGGCAUUCGUGCCGGUGUACUUCCCCGUGGGCGGGCCAGCGUCGGUUUGGGCGGCCGGUCAAAGGCCCCUGGAAUGUAGUACCCUCCGGGGUACCUUAUAGCCAGGGGUGCAAUGCGGCCAGCCUGGACCGAGGAACGCGCUUCGGCACGGACGCUGGCAUAAUGGUCGUAAACGAC
rnacentral:rRNA from 2 species